rnacentral:lncRNA from 1 species
UUAGUUAAAAGCUCCUUUAAUUUGCAGGCUGUCUGCCGUCGCUUGGCCGGCGAUCGAGUCGUGAUCGUGUUGGUUGGACGUUGGAUGUGAUCGUUCUUGACCAAGACUUACUCCUAAUUGGUUCUCUUGACACCACCAAAGGGGUAUUAACAUCCAUUUCCUGACAGCGUGCACGCGGCAUUGCAGCAUGCCCCUGUCCAAAUCAUUCCGUGUGUUGUUAGGUAGAAAAGGGGAUAUUUAUACUGGAGUAUAUGAUUAAGGAGAAGCCAGAUCACGCCGGCAAAAUAAAAAAGAAGAAAAAGAAGAGAAUUUAGAAUAUUUGAUAAGCAAAAUAAAUUAAAUUCGGGC